UGGGUUUGAGCAACACCAUGGCGUGCCUGGGCAGCAUCAUUACCCCAUUGGUAAAGAUGUUGGAGGAAUACAUUCCCUUCCUGCCACUGAUCAUUUAUGGAGCUGCCCCAAUCAUCUCCGGCAUUGCAGCGACCUUCCUGCCCGAGACGCUCAACGUGCCAUUGCUUGAGACCAUAGAGGAGGUGGAGACACGACCCAGGCAUCUGAGAGAUGAACAACAACAAAUGAAGAUCCUUCUGAAACCCACCAUGCCAGACCCAGCCAAGGAAGCCAGUUAAGGAAAGAAAAAACAAGCAACUGUUGUAGGGGCUAUGGGUACAAUUUUCAAAAGUGCCUAAGUGCCUUAGGAGCCUAUGUUCCAUUUUCACCAGUGACUUAGCCACUCUCAUGAGAGUUAAGUGCCUCAUCUACCUGAGCACUUCUGAAAAUCCCACUGGGCACUUAUCUGAAUCUCUUGGCACCUAAAUACCUUGGAAAAUGUGGCUCCCAAUCACUUUUGAAAGUGGGGGCUUAUGCACUUUUGAAGACUCCGCCCUAUCUCUUUUACUGUUUUAAUCAUGCCAGAAGUACUAUGCAGGCAUC